GAUGAAGAAGGUAGCGAAAUGCGAUAAGUAGUGUGAAUUGCAGACUUUAGUGAAUCAUCGAAUCUUUGAACGCACAUUGCGCCCCUUGGUAUUCCAUUGGGCAUGCCUGUUCGAGCGUCAUUUACACCCUCAAGCCUAGCUUGGUGUUGGGCGUUGUCCGCAAGGACUCGCCUCAAAUUCAUUGGCAGCGGCAUCGUCAGCUUCUCGCGCAGCACAUUGCGCUUCAGAAGGCUUCUGGCGGGCUCGCGUCCACUAAGAUACCACCCAGUUUGACCUCGAAUCAGGUAGGGAUACCCGCUGAACUUAAGCAUAUCAAUAAGCGGAGGA
rnacentral:misc_RNA from 1 species